rnacentral:rRNA from 1 species
UACGGAGGGAGCUAGCGUUGUUCGGAAUUACUGGGCGUAAAGCGCGCGCAGGCGGUCCUUUAAGUCAGGGGUGAAAGCCCAGAGCUCAACUCUGGAACUGCCUUUGAAACUAGAGGACUUGGGUACGGGAGAGGUGAGUGGAAUUCCGAGUGUAGAGGUGAAAUUCGUAGAUAUUUGGAAGAACACCAGUGGCGAAGGCGGCUCACUGGCCCGUUACCGACGCUCAGGCGCGACAGCGUGGGGAGCAAACAGG